GGCGGUUCUCAGUUGAUGAACCUCAGAAUCGGGCUCCCUCCUUUCUGGUUCCAGGUGUGUCGCCUGAGAACCGCA
rfam:Myotis davidii contig319508, whole genome shotgun sequence.